rfam:Gasterosteus aculeatus cont1.007359, whole genome shotgun sequence.
CAGAUAACCUCAAAAUGAGACACUGAUGAUUCUUCAGUUCAUAAGUGCUUCUCUUUGGGGUUGUCUUG